rnacentral:tRNA from 1 species
ACCCAACGCUGGCUCCCCGGCCCUGACCCGCAUGGUCCUCCCGGCUCCGUGCUGGGAUGAA